rnacentral:rRNA from 1 species
UGGGGAAUAUUGGACAAUGGGCGAAAGCCUGAUCCAGCCAUGCCGCGUGUGUGAAGAAGGUCUUCGGAUUGUAAAGCACUUUAAGUUGGGAGGAAGGGCAUUAACCUAAUACGUUAGUGUUUUGACGUUACCGACAGAAUAAGCACCGGCUAACUCUGUGCCAGCAGCCGCGGUCAUACAGAGGGAGCAAGCGUUAAUCGGAAUUACUGGGCGUAAAGCGCGCGUAGGUGGUUUGUUAAGUUGGAUGUGAAAUCCCCGGGCUCAACCUGGGAACUGCAUUCAAAACUGACUGACUAGAGUAUGGUAGAGGGUGGUGGAAUUUCCUGUGUAGCGGUGAAAUGCGUAGAUAUAGGAAGGAACACCAGUGGCGAAGGCGACCACCUGGACUAAUACUGACACUGAGGUGCGAAAGCGUGGGGAGCAAACA